GACGGUUCUUGGGUUAUGCACCCCGGAAUCGGGCUCCUCCUCUUUGGUUCUGGGUGUGUCACCCAAGAACCGCA
rfam:Myotis brandtii contig185245, whole genome shotgun sequence.